AACCGAGUCUUAACUGGGCGUUAAGUUGCAGGGUAUAGACCCGAAACCCGGUGAUCUAGCCAUGGGCAGGUUGAAGGUUGGGUAACACUAACUGGAGGACCGAACCGACUAAUGUUGAAAAAUUAGCGGAUGACUUGUGGCUGGGGGUGAAAGGCCAAUCAAACCGGGAGAUAGCUGGUUCUCCCCGAAAGCUAUUUAGGUAGCGCCUCGUGAAUUCAUCUCCGGGGGUAGAGCACUGUUUCGGCAAGGGGGUCAUCCCGACUUACCAACCCGAUGCAAACUGCGAAUACCGGAGAAUGUUAUCACGGGAGACACACGGCGGGUGCUAACGUCCGUCGUGAAGAGGGAAACAACCCAGACCGCCAGCUAAGGUCCCAAAGUCAUGGUUAAGUGGGAAACGAUGUGGGAAGGCCCAGACAGCCAGGAUGUUGGCUUAGAAGCAGCCAUCAUUUAAAGAAAGCGUAAUAGCUCACUGGUCGAGUCGGCCUGCGCGGAAGAUGUAACGGGGCUAAACCAUGCAC
rnacentral:rRNA from 1 species